UGGCUCAGUCGGUAGAGCAUGUGACUCUUGAUCUUGGGAUCGUGGGUUCAAGCCCCAU
rnacentral:tRNA from 1 species